GUAUAUAUUAUAGACACAACAUUCUAUUGACAUGCAUUGGGGUAAAUGAAGAAUCAACAUAGACACCUGGAAAGAUGUCUACAAAAGGUGCACAGGUGGAGAUAUAAAGAUGACAAGCGUGCACAUGCUCCCUAGAGAACCAGCAACAACUCAUCAGAUUUAUUUCAAUAAUGAUCCUUCCGCAGGUUCACCUACGGAAA
rnacentral:misc_RNA from 1 species